CCUACGGGUUGCAGCAGUGGGGAAUAUUGCACAAUGGGCGCAAGCCUGAUGCAGCCAUGCCGCGUGUGUGAAGAAGGCCUUCGGGUUGUAAAGCACUUUCAGUCGUGAGGAAGGUAGUGUAGUUAAUAGCUGCAUUAUUUGACGUUAGCGACAGAAGAAGCACCGGCUAACUCCGUGCCAGCAGCCGCGGUAAUACGGAGGGUGCGAGCGUUAAUCGGAAUUACUGGGCGUAAAGCGCAUGCAGGUGGUUUGUUAAGUCAGAUGUGAAAGCCCGGGGCUCAACCUCGGAAUAGCAUUUGAAACUGGCAGACUAGAGUACUGUAGAGGGGGGUAGAAUUUCAGGUGUAGCGGUGAAAUGCGUAGAGAUCUGAAGGAAUACCGGUGGCGAAGGCGGCCCCCUGGACAGAUACUGACACUCAGAUGCGAAAGCGUGGGGAGCAAACAGGAUUAGAUACCCGUGUAGUC
rnacentral:rRNA from 1 species